rnacentral:rRNA from 1 species
CAUUCAAUCUGCACACAUCUUAUUUAGGAAAAGCAUAAAUCGAGAAAUCGAAAUCAGAUUAUCAAAGAACCAGGCGAAUCAAGGGGUAAAAGAAUAGAGAAAGAUGGUGAAGCUGAAGAUGUGCGGCCAACAUUGGGGAUGGGGCACGACGACCAAGCGGUAGGCAGUGAUGACCGACUCCAUUCCACCAUGACCUGAGCACUCCUUCGCACAUAUGCCCUCCCCACCCUUCCUCGGCUCCUCCACACCCAUCAUGAAUCCUGCGCCCAAUCCAGAAUCAGUAUUGGCAGCAAAGGUAAUAGGCAUGAGUAAGAAAGAAAGAGGAAGAGAGAAAGAGGCAGAGAGGUGGUUCCUUCUUGCCGCGGUCCAGCGCAGCCGGUGGUGAGGCGGCGGCUGGCCGGCGUCACCUCUCCUGCUCUGCCUCGGAACCGCGUCUCCGAUGUUGAUGCUUGACCUCCGCUCCACCCUCGUUUCCCCUCUCCUUCCCUCCUCGAUCUCUCAUCCUCGCCGUCGUCGAUCCGCUCCUCCCGCACCGCUGAACUCCAGCGCGGGGCAGGGACGGGGGCUCCUCAAGGGGGCGGGAAGGCCUCCGGGCGGGGCUGCUCUGGCGCGAUGGAGAGAGCGGGGAGGGGCCGGGAGGUGGCGGCUGUGCACGGAAGCAGGAGUGGAGAGCGGAGAGGGGGAGGGACUUGGGGCUCGAGAAGCGUGGAGGAUUGGUCGAUAGGGUUUCACCAGGCUC